GCCGGAGUGGCGGAACGGUAGACGCACCGGACUUAAAAUCCGGUGGGCUCCAGCCCGUGCGGGUUCGAAUCCCGCCUCCGGCACCA
rnacentral:tRNA from 1 species